rnacentral:rRNA from 1 species
AUCGAACGCUGGCGGCAUGCCUUACACAUGCAAGUCGAACGGCAGCAUGGGUGCUUGCACCUGAUGGCGAGUGGCGAACGGGUGAGUAAUGCAUCGGAACGUGCCCUGAAGUGGGGGAUAACGUAGCGAAAGUUACGCUAAUACCGCAUAUUCUGUGAGCAGGAAAGCAGGGGAUCGCAAGACCUUGUGCUUUAGGAGCGGCCGAUGUCGGAUUAGCUAGUUGGUGAGGUAAAGGCUCACCAAGGCGACGAUCCGUAGCGGGUCUGAGAGGAUGAUCCGCCACACCGGGACUGAGACACGGCCCAGACUCCUACGGGAGGCAGCAGUGGGGAAUUUUGGACAAUGGGCGCAAGCCUGAUCCAGCCAUGCCGCGUGAGUGAAGAAGGCCUUCGGGUUGUAAAGCUCUUUCGGUGGGGAAGAAAUGGUUUCGGUUAAUACCCGGAAUUGAUGACGGUACCCGCAUAAGAAGCACCGGCUAACUACGUGCCAGCCGCCGCAGUAA